UUUUUUUUUUUUUGGUCUUUUUGCCAUUUCUUGGGCCGCUUCCACGGCAUAUGGAGGUUCCCAGGCCAGGGGUCGAAUCAGAGCUGUAGCUGCUGGCCUAUGCCAGAGCCACAGCAAUGCAGGAUCCAAGCCACGGCUGCAACCUGCACCACAGCUCACGGCAACGCCGCAUCCUUAACCCACUGAGCAAGGCCAGGGAUUGAACCCACAACCUCAUGGUUCUUCGUCGGAUUCGUUAACCAAGCCAUAGCAGGAACUCCAGAAAAUCCUGCCUUUUGAAUAAAGACAAUAAAAAAAAUAAAGAAAUGAAAUUCAGUUUCCUCUCUGAGGAGAGUUGGUUUGUGAUUUGGAGAUGGUUCCAAGAUAGAUCCAAGCAACAGGGGUUUAUAUGAUUCAUCUAGUAUGCCACCUUUAACAUCUUUUUUUUUUAAAUGAAAAUUCUACGUAUUUCAGGUUUACAACCUGAUGCUUUGAUAUACCUAGUGAAAUGAUUACUAUAAUCAAGCGCCAAACUAAUUAACUUCUUACAUAGUUACCGUAUUUUUCUUUCGUGAUUGAGAGUACCUGAAAUCUACUCUGAAUGAAUUUUCAGUAUUACUACAGUGUUAUUAACUGUGAUCCUUAUGCUUAAUUCCUCUUUUUCUCUGCCUUCAUGCCUUCCUCCUCAUUAUAUACUCAAGCUUUAGCUUACUCCCUAGCUUUGUUGUAUUAUGCUUCCUCAUAAGUUUUCAGUUAUUCAUUACUAAGCCUUGCUUACUACUCUAGUGUCUUUGGCUGUAUCUCAUGUUUCCCAGCACUGUUAUUGAAUAUUGUUUCCUCUGCUAUGGGCCUCACUCUUUCUGCAUUUCACAAACUUUAUUUUUCAAUGCAAGGGUUUAAGUGGCUUCGCUUACCUUUGCUUGAGUAGUCAGUUUUUGAGUCUUACAGUGGCAUAACACUUGGGUACUGUGUCUCAUAUCUGGUACAUUCUGCUUGGGAUGACAGGACAGGUCAUAUUCUAAAAUUCAUUACUCUAGGACUAGGACUGCCUGUCUCGAGAACUGAGUGGGACAGUUGAACUUAGAUGGGACUUGAGUGUAGCCACCACUUGAUUCACAUGUGUUUGUAUUGCAUUUCCACAUCUUGACCACAGAGCACAUAUACCUUUCAUCUCAUUUUUUUCAUUUCUAAAGAUGCUUCUGUUUAUACUUUUCCAGCAGCUCUUAAGCAGAAAUGUUAGAGAGUAACCAGGUCACAGCCAGAUACUGUAGUCUGAAGUGAUGUCAUGAGGCCACUUUAGAAAUUUGCCUGCCAAAUUUGGAAGCAUCCACCUAUCUUUGAUCUUCCUUGGUGACUGAAUUUCCUCUGUUGUGAUUGUACCAAAACUUACCUUCAUGAGAUGUGUAGUCUUGCAAUAGUAACUUUGCCACAGUUCCUGUAGACCCUUAACAUUCUAGCCUGGGUUGUGGUGGGGUGUGUCUGUUACUGUCCCACCACCAAGUAAUAAACAGGUUUAAAUAUUCCAUGUCCUACCAAAGUUCUGUUUAUGUAACCCAACUCUACACUAUUUUCUGAUUACAUAGGAUUUCUGGUUUCAAGAAAUAAGACACAGGGUUAGCUAAAGAAAUGGAUAUUUAUCAUAUAGGUUCAUAUAGUAAGACAGAGUAAAGAAGAUAGGGAUUUCAUAGGAAUCUUAAUCACUUGGGAUUUGUAGACCUUUUCUGUUGACUUGAAUGAGACCAGCUAUUUGAUCAGCUAUUCUUCCAUCUUCAUUUUUUCUUCCUCAUGACUGGAUUUGCCACUAAGCCCUACUUUGACGAGGCUUUCAGCUUCAGCAUUCACUGCUAAUGACCUAGUUUUCAUUGUUUCUACUCAAAUUCCAAAGAAUGAGAAUCUUAAUUGGCCUAGUUUAUCUGUGCAGUGCUUUUUCAUGCUGAGACAUGUCAUAGGCUCCUGGCAAUGUAUGUCCCAUCAACUGUGCUCAGUGGAGAGGAUGUAAUAAUAGAUAAUGUAAAACAAAAGCUGGUCAUUAAGGGCUGUGCUACAGCUGUGACAAUAGAUAGAAUGGUGGUCUUCAGAGGGGAGUGAAUAUGUAUUUGUAGGAACCUGAACUGACACAUUUAGCCCAAUGGUUCUCAAACUUGGGAACCUAUGGUCUAAUCCAUGUUAUUCCAUGCCUGUUGGAAUGGUAACAGCACCAUAUCUAGCUGUAACAGAGACAAAGUCAUGCUUUCCAGGGUCGAUACCUUGUGAUUAUAUCAGAAUUUGCAUGUCAUCGUCAGAAGAGAAACAACUGUUGAACCCCGCUUGGCUUAUUUCUUUGUAGUUGCUGUAAUCAGUCACUACCAUUUGCCUCAGUGCUUAACCCUAAGUGGGUGCAGGUAUGAAUCACAAAGGCAGCUGUAUAAUUAGUGGCUUUGCUACAACAUAAACUGGGCUUCUGAAAAAGAUUUCGCUCUGGUACAUGGGGUAGAUUGUGUAUGAUUUUUUUAUUCUAUAGUCAUACCCUAUCAAUUCCAAGUGUUUUACAUUUCUGCUGGGCGUUUUUUUCAUGCAACUAUAUUUCUGAUAGAAAUUUCUAUAUGAAGUUGGCUCUUUUGGUCUCAAGAAAAGAAGUUAAUCAGCCUACCUCAUUAAUAGGGGUUUAUUGUAUGUAAACACGUUGAACAAUGUGGAAGAUGGGGCUUUAAUGGGAAUUGAUAUGUGGGAACAGUAUUGAGUACGGGAAUUGGAUUCUAGCAGCUCUGGGCACCUUAACAGCAGGUAUUUUUGGUUCAUUACUCUUGUGCUACAUCACUGACAUCACCCAGCCACUCUGAAUUUGCUGUUCUUUCUAACUCAGUGGUUCUCUAUCAGAGUUAAACAUUAGAAUCACCUGAGGAACUUUAAAAAUAAACCAGGUGAGAUAUUGUGAUUUAAGUGGCCCGGGCAUCAGUAUUUUUAAAUCUCCUUACCAUUGUUCAUGCUUCUUUUGCUAUUAACUGGCUUCCCUAACCUUUAUUUCUCUACCUUCCAGCUUCUGCUUGCUUGUGGUACCCAUGGAUUGUAUUACCUUGUAAAUUUGCCUUCUCUUGGCCUUCAUGAGCUCCCUUAGAGAAAAAUCUAUGGACAUGACAGCACAAUUAAUUAAAGUAUGUGUUGCAAAGGUUGGCAGAUGUUUUCUGUAAAAUUCCUGAUAGCAAAUAUAUUAGGUUGGUGAGCCACACAAUCUUUGUUGCAACUAUUGACUCAGGGAGUCAACCAUAGACAGUGAAUGCAAAAUCUGGCUGCAGCCAGAUUUGACCUACUGGCUGUAGUUUGCUGACCCAUGGUCUGUUCUUUCCUUGUUCAUAGUAAAACUUCUUGUUUAUUCUUUCUCAAUAUUGUCUUAACUACUGUUCUCCAAUUCAGUAUUAACUUAAACUUAAGAAUUACUUUGUUUAAUUCUCUUCAUCUAAAAACUUGGGGAUAUUGUAAUAAUAUUGGACUUGUAAAUUCACUUGGUCAAAAUUAACACGUUUGUAACAUUUCUUCUAGAGACAUUUAGUCAAGUCUUUUUAUGUCCUAAUAAUCAUAAUUUAACUAAUAAUCAUAAUUUUCAUCAUGUAUAUCCCUGAUUUUUUUUUUUCUUUUGCUUUUUAGGACUGCACCUGUGGCAUAUGGAGUUUCCCAGGCUAGGGGUUAAAUUGGAGCUGCAGGGACCUCAUGGGUCCUAGUUGGAUUCGUUAACCACUGCAUCACAACGGGAACUCCAGUCUUUGAUGUUACUGAGCAUUUAUUUUAUCUAAUUAUGCCACUUGUUCAGAUUCUGUGCUGAUUAAGCAAUUUUCAUGAUUAUAAUUUGGCUAUAAGAAAAGAAUAUGCUCCUCAUGUAGAAACAAGUAUUCUGGUUACAUAGAUGAGUAUGUUUCUUAUAAUAAAUUAAAUUGGCAUGUUUAAGAUUAUUUACAUCUCAUUAUAUGUCAGCUAUGCUGAAUGCCUUUGUAAUUUAUCUUUGCACAAUUGACUCAUCGUUUCCUUACCAACCAUAAUUUUUAGUCACAGAAGCUGCAGUGAAUUUGCUCAGGGCCCUUAAGCAUGGUUUGUUCCUAUGGCAAAGAGCCUAACAAAAGAUUGAUAGUAUGGACAUGUUCCUGGCAGUAGGCAUGAACAUUAAGUAUGCGUUUGGAGAAGUAUUAGAGAAUAUGAUAAAAAUCAGUGGUUGUAGUGAGGAGAAACUCCCUUAUUUUCUAAUUGUACUAGAGAAUUGCUUUAGUCAGUUCAGAAAUAGCAGCAUCUAUAUGCUUUGUCUUGGUCCUGAGGCAUGGUUGCUGGAAGUUGGCAACAAUGGGCCAACAAAGGAUUUUUACACUCCUUGAAGUCGUAUAACUAGAGAGAUUUGCAUGAAGAAUUUGUAAUUGAAAAGCAUGCGUGCCUACUUUUAGUAGCCUGGAAGUUGAUAGUAAUGUCAUUAACCAUAGGAUAUAAGAUAUUUUAACUGAGAAUAAUAGCUUAAUAUCUAAAAAGAACUUUUGCAUCACUAAAGAAGAAAAAUGUCUUGCUGGGAACAAGUUUAGGAAAUGAAUGUACUUUUUUUUUAUCUUCUUGGGAGAAAAGUAUCCUCU
rnacentral:lncRNA from 1 species